UACGGAGGGCGCAAGCGUUAUCCGGAAUCACUGGGUUUAAAGGGUGCGUAGGCGGCUUGAUAAGUCAGGGGUGAAAGCCCGCAGCUUAACUGCGGAACUGCCUUUGAUACUGUCGAGCUUGAAAGAGGUUGAGGUCAGCGGAACGUGACAUGUAGCGGUGAAAUGCAUAGAUAUGUCACAGAACACCGAUUGCGAGGGCAGCUGGCUGGCCCUACUUUGACGCUGAGGCACGAAAGCGUGGGGAGCGAACAGG
rnacentral:rRNA from 1 species